UCUGCCAUACAUAGCUCUAUUACUGAGUCUU
rnacentral:piRNA from 1 species